UCUGACGAAAGAUGUUGAAAAUGGUUGAAUUUCAAACACAAAUAUGUGAUAAAAACAGUUGCCAUCUUUGGACGCGCAGAAAACUUGUUUGUUUUUAACUGCUGUGCGUCACAUCGACUGAUUGUUUUAGAUAUUUUUUCACUCCGGGGGAAUUACUUGAUCAUAGAGCUGCUUCCAGUUGAAACCUGCAGACACAGGCAACAGCAAAACCAACGACAGCGAUGCGGAAGGAGACAAAUCUUCCGACAAGGGCGUUUCUAAUUCCAAUAGGAACUUCCAUCCGGGAUCAUCUAAACACCGAAGGGGAUAUGAAAACGACGGUUGUUUUGCUUGAGACCAGUCUGGAUAGGUUGGGGCAUUUUCCACAAGCAAUGAUGAGGUAAACACUUCCCUUCGCUCAGUGGGCCUAUCUGGUUCGAAAAGCUGCAAGUUAAGUAUCCAGCACGAUGGGAGUAGCAGCCCCCCGAAUCGGGUGCUCCUUAGUCACCGGAAAGCAGCAAGGCUUCAUCCGUUCAUGGCGGCAACAGAGGUAGACGAGGCAACCAGACCAAAUUCUACAAUGAUUUUUGGAUGGACGGUCAUAAUUGUAUCA